AACGAACACUGGCGGCGCGCUUAACACAUGCAAGUCGAACGAGAAGGCGUAGCAAUACGCUUGUACAGUGGCGAACGGGUGAGUAAUACGUGGGCGACCUACCCUCGAGUGGGGAAUAACCCGCCGAAAGGCGGGCUAAUGCCGCGUACGCUUCCAUCUUUAUGGAGGUGGAAGGAAAGCCGUGCCGUGGGCACGGCGCUCAAGGAUGGGCUCACGUCCUAUCAGCUUGUUGGAGGGUAACGGCCUACCAAGGCUCCGACGGGUAGCUGGUCUGAGAGGACGAUCAGCCACACUGGCACUGCGACACGGGCCAGACUCCUACGGGAGGCAGCAGUAAGGAAUAUUGCGCAAUGGGCGAAAGCCUGACGCAGCGACGCCGCGUGGGGGAUGAAGGUCUUCGGAUUGU
rnacentral:rRNA from 1 species